AUUGAACGCUGGCGGCAGGCUUAACACAUGCAAGUCGAGCGGAGAGAGGUAGCUUGCUACUGAUCUUAGCGGCGGACGGGUGAGUAAUGCUUAGGAAUCUGCCUAUUAGUGGGGGACAACAUUUCGAAAGGAAUGCUAAUACCGCAUACGUCCUACGGGAGAAAGCGGGGGAUCUUCGGACCUUGCGCUAAUAGAUGAGCCUAAGUCGGAUUAGCUAGUUGGUGGGGUAAAGGCCUACCAAGGCGACGAUCUGUAGCGGGUCUGAGAGGAUGAGCCGCCACACUGGGACUGAGGCACGGCCCAGACUCCUACGGGAGGCAGCAGUGGGGAAUAUUGGACAAUGGGCGGAAGCCUGAUCCAGCCAUGCCGCGUGUGUGAAGAAGGCCUUAUGGUUGUAAAGCACUUUAAGCGAGGAGGAGGCUACUUUAGUUAAUACCUAGAGAUAGUGGACGUUACUCGCAGAAUAAGCACCGGCUAACUCUGUGCCAGCCGCCGCGGUAAAAC
rnacentral:rRNA from 1 species